ACCGAGAGAAGCUGGGGAGAGCCAAAGAACGCCUGCUAAACCCUGCAGGUUUACUGGGUUUUUGCAAAACAAUACGAAAUUGAAAUGUCGCAGGCUGCGAAAUAAGGGACGAUGUCGCUAAAUUGGGUGUCGAAAAUCGCUAGAAUAUCAAGGAAUUGGGUAACUCGAUAUAAGUAUUACAGUAAUCUUUGGAUUUAUAAUUCCCGAAAGUCUAUAGAAGUGCUCCUUUACGGAAAAAAGAAGCAAACAGCAAGUAUUCCAUUUAUGAUUACAGUGAAAAUGAAAAAUACAUUGCUGUGUCUUGGAUACAGCAACAAGGAUAUUGGACAUAUGACGCCAUUGUUGGCAAGUAAUAUCAUCAAACAUAGGGUUUUGAAGGAAAAUAAUUCAUCUUUUCAAGUUCAGAAUAACAGAUCAGAUAAGAAAGUUACUGAAAACAUUACAGAAGAAUUGAGAUAGGCAGGUAUUGGGGAACUAAUACUUUAGUUAUCAUUUCUAAUUCUGUGACAAUAACAAUGGGCAGUGUGGGGACCUGUCUUUCAGACAAGACGCACUGUUAAAACAUUGAGUAUGAUGCAAAACAUGAGUUCUUAUUACUAAGUUAACUUGCUACUCAGGAUUUUAUUUUUCUGCACUUGAAAAACAACAGGCACGAUGUCUUUAUGGCACUAACAUUACUUUUCAUGACAGAAAACCUGGCUAUUUAAGCUGGGGUCAAGUCAUCUUGGGAUUUUUCAAAGAUGUACUAGCUCUGUAGAUUGGGAACUUUGAAUGCCUUGUCUUUUACGGCAGAAUCUAUGCUAGGAAUUCUUUAUAUUUUUAAGCAAAAUCUCUGAAAAUCGGCCCACCCCAUGUUUUUUUAUAAUACUUCUGUUUCAUUUUUGUAAUGGUUCUGUGAUUUCUAUAGCCUGUUUAUAAGCUUUAUAACCAGUUUAUAACCAUACAUUACUCACAAAGUCCAUACAUGUGUAAAGAAGUGUAAAUUUUAUUUCAUUUGCUCUAUAAUUGUAUUUUUAUUAUUUAUAUGACAUUUAAAUGACAUUGGUUUUGUUGCAUUAAAUUCUCCAGUACAUUG